GCCAGUUGUCAUUGUACACCACUAGUCUACACGGUAACAUGGUCUGAUGGCCUCAAUGUUCUUUGCCUCAUAUGGAUGUGUUUGACGACUUUGAGCUUGAGUUGUCUACAUUUUGCGUUACAUUUCUUUCGAGGUUCUACAUUGGAAGUGCAGCUACGCUUAUACUGACGAUGCUUGUUCUUUAAACACCAUUCCAGCUGUUCGGUACAUGCAACAUGUUAAGUACUUCAUUCCCUCUGUUUACAAUCUUGAGCAUGUUGUCAGAGUACAGCACUAUUCUACACGUGAACAUUAUCUGACAGCUUCAACGUGCAUUGCCUCAUAUGGGUAUGUUUAAGUUCUUUGGGCAUGAGUUGUCUAUGUUUCGCCUUAUAUUUCUUUCGAGGUUCUACAUUGGAUCUGCAGCUAGACUUCUACUGACGAUGCUUGUCCCAUAAACUCCAUGUCUGCUGUUGGCCAAACGCAAGAAGUUAAGUACUAAAAUGUCCUGUUUACAAUCUUGAGCCAGUAGUCAUAGUACAGCUCUAGUCCUCAAGUUAACAUUAUCUGACGCCGUCAACAUGCAUUGCCUCAUAUGAAUGUGUUUGAAAACUUUGAGCUUGACUUGUCUAUGUUUUGCCUUAUAUUUCUUUCGAGGUUCUACAUUGGAUCUGCAGCUAGACUUCUACUGAUGAUGCUUGCCACAUAAACUCCAUGCCUGCUGUUGGCCAAACGCAACAAGUUCAACAUUGGAAGUGCAGCUAGGCUUAAACUGAUGAUGCUUGUACCGUAAAGUCCAUGCCUGCUGUUGGCCAAAAUGCAAUAAGAUAAGUAAUUAAAUUGCCUGUGUUUACUCUCUUGAGACGUUUGUCAUUGUAAGGUACUGUCUACGCGGUAACGUUCUGACGGCCUCAAUGUUUGUUGCCUUAUAUGAAAAUAUCUGACGACUUUGAGCUUGAGUUGUCUACAUUUUGCGUUACAUUUCUUUCAAGGUUCUACAUUGAAAGUGCAGCUACGCUUAUACUGACGAUGCUUGUUCUUUAAACACCAUUCCAGCUGUUCGGUACAUGCAACAUGUUAAGUACUUCAUUCCCUCUGUUUACAAUCUUGAGCAUGUUGUCAGAGUACAGCACUAUUCUACACGUGAACAUUAUCUGACAGCUUCAACGUGCAUUGCCUCAUAUGGGUAUGUUUAAGUUCUUUGGGCAUGAGUUGUCUAUGUUUCGCCUUAUAUUUCU